AUACGGAAGGUGCGAGCGUUAAUCGGAAUUACUGGGCGUAAAGCGCGCGUAGGCGGUUUGGUCAGUCGGAUGUGAAAGCCCCAGGCUCAACCUGGGAAUGGCAUUCGAUACUGCCUGACUAGAGUAUGGUAGAGGGAAGUGGAAUUUCCGGUGUAGCGGUGAAAUGCGUAGAUAUCGGAAGGAACACCAGUGGCGAAGGCGACUUCCUGGGCCAAUACUGACGCUAAGGUGCGAAAGCGUGGGGAGCAAACAGGAUUAGAAACCCGGGUAGUCC
rnacentral:rRNA from 1 species